ACUAGCAUGGUGCAUUGGUUUGAACAUUGGACUAUAACUCCAAAGACUAGGGUUCGAAUCUUGGGCAUGGA